rnacentral:rRNA from 1 species
UACGGAGGGAGCUAGCGUUGUUCGGAAAUACUGGGCGUAAAGCGCACGUAGGCGGCGCAGCAAGUCAGGGGUGAAAUCCCGGGGCUCAACCCCGGAACUGCCUUUGAAACUGCAGUGCUAGAAUCUUGGAGAGGCGAGUGGAAUUCCGAGUGUAGAGGUGAAAUUCGUAGAUAUCGAGAGGAACACCGGUGGCGAAGGCGGCGAUCUGGACGAUGACUGACGCUGAGGCGCGAAAGCGUGGGGAGCAAACAGG